UAGUCCACGCCGUAAACGAUGUCAACUAGCCGUUGGGAGUCUUGUAUUCUUAGUGGCGCAGCUAACGCGAUAAGUUGACCGCCUGGGGAGUACGGCCGCAAGGUUAAAACUCAAAUGAAUUGACGGGGGCCCGCACAAGCGGUGGAGCAUGUGGUUUAAUUCGAUGCAACGCGAAGAACCUUACCAGGUCUUGACAUCCAGAGAACUUUCCAGAGAUGGAUUGGUGCCUUCGGGAACUCUGAGACAGGUGCUGCAUGGCUGUCGUCAGCUCGUGUCGUGAGAUGUUGGGUUAAGUCCCGUAACGAGCGCAACCCUUGUCCUUAGUUGCUAACAUUUAGUUGAGAACUCUAAGGAGACUGCCGGUGACAAACCGGAGGAGGGUGGGGACGACGUCAAGUCAUCAUGGCCCUUACGCCCAGGGCUACACACGUGCUACAAUGGCGCAUACAGAGGGUCGCGACACGGUAACGUGAAGCCAAUCUCAAAAAGUGCGUCUCAGUUCGGA
rnacentral:rRNA from 1 species